rnacentral:lncRNA from 1 species
GGCUCUGCUCAGUGACCUUGACCCCAGGGAGCACAUUUCCAUUAAAGUUGACACCUCCAGCUUCUCUCUAUCUGGGCCCCUCAGAAAGUAUCCAUCGGAUGUGGCCCAUGACACCCAACCUUUGGCCUAACUUUGGGGGUCUGCCCUCCCCUUCACCCUGCUGCCAGCAGUACACGAGCCACCGAGUGCCCUCUGACUUUCCAGGCGGGCGUCGAGGCGCUGCGUGCCCUGCACUGCGGGGAAGAAGAUGAAGAUUCUGAGGGGCCCUCUCAGGCCCUGCUUCCGAGAUCUGGGGUGAAGGGGAAACACCCUCUACUCUUCUCCUUUGGGGUUAGAGAGGGGACUCACAGGACUUCAACGGCUCUUUCCAAAACUCCGCUUCUUAUCCCCAACCGCUGCCCGUGCUUUAGACCCUCCGUGUGUGAGGAGUUUGCACCCUUCAGAGUUUCAGCUGGAAAGUGGAUCUAUCGUCUUGGUGCUUCAGAGGAAACUUCUACAAUAUUCAGAUGGACGGGGCUCUCAGCCCCUCGACCACAAGGCUGUUCCAGCCUGAGCAGGGGUACCCUGCCCUGGAAUGAAUGAGCUCCGCAAAUACUCAUCUCUGGGCAGCUGCCAAGUCUGGCCCCACUCCAGAGGACCGAGUGCUUGCAUCUGUCCCACUUCCCUUGGCAUGAAGGCCCCUGGCUGUCAGGGUGGGGCAGAGCUCCAGAGCCAGCCUUGGUGCUGGGACCCGGCCGAGCGAGGAGCUGCGGUGCCCAGGCCACAUGGCGUUCCCUGGUGAGGAGACGAUGUGAUGGCCACCAACACCCUUGGAACCCGUGUCGGCCCCAGUGCGAGUCAAGUGGACCCCUGCUGUCCUCCCGAG